rnacentral:rRNA from 1 species
AUGAACGCUGGCGGCGUGCCUAAUACAUGCAAGUCGAGCGAACAGACGAGGAGCUUGCUCCUCUGACGUUAGCGGCGGACGGGUGAGUAACACGUGGAUAACCUACCUAUAAGACUGGGAUAACUUCGGGAAACCGGAGCUAAUACCGGAUAAUAUAUUGAACCGCAUGGUUCAAUAGUGAAAGACGGUUUUGCUGUCACUUAUAGAUGGAUCCGCGCCGCAUUAGCUAGUUGGUAAGGUAACGGCUUACCAAGGCAACGAUGCGUAGCCGACCUGAGAGGGUGAUCGGCCACACUGGAACUGAGACACGGUUCAGACUCCUACGGGAGGCAGCAGUAGGGAAUCUUCCGCAAUGGGCGAAAGCCUGACGGAGCAACGCCGCGUGAGUGAUGAAGGUCUUCGGAUCGUAAAACUCUGUUAUUAGGGAAGAACAAAUGUGUAAGUAACUAUGCACGUCUUGACGGUACCUAAUCAGAAAGCCACGGCUAACUACGUG